rnacentral:rRNA from 1 species
CAAGACUUUCUUUUUCCACCGGGAGCUUGCUCCACCGGGAAAGAGGAGUGGCGAACGGGUGAGUAACACGUGGGUAACCUGCCCAUCAGAAGGGGAUAACACUUGGAAACAGGUGCUAAUACCGUAUAACAAUCGAAACCGCAUGGUUUCGUUUUGAAAGGCGCUUUACGGUGCCGCUGAUGGAUGGACCCGCGGUGCAUUAGCUAGUUGGUGAGGUAACGGCUCACCAAGGCCACGAUGCAUAGCCGACCUGAGAGGGUGAUCGGCCACAUUGGGACUGAGACACGGCCCAAACUCCUACGGGAGGCAGCAGUAGGGAAUCUUCGGCAAUGGACGAAAGUCUGACCGAGCAACGCCGCGUGAGUGAAGAAGGUUUUCGGAUCGUAAAACUCUGUUGUUAGAGAAGAACAAGGGUGAGAGUAACUGUUCACCCCUUGACGGUAUCUAACCAGAAAGCCACGGCUAACUACGUGCCAGCAGCCGCGGUAAUACGUAGGUGGCAAGCGUUGUCCGGAUUUAUUGGGCGUAAAGCGAGCGCAGGCGGUUUCUUAAGUCUGAUGUGAAAGCCCCCGGCUCAACCGGGGAGGGUCAUUGGAAACUGGGAGACUUGAGUGCAGAAGAGGAGAGUGGAAUUCCAUGUGUAGCGGUGAAAUGCGUACAU